UCAGAAUCCGAAUAGCGGCUCCUAGAGCCAAACCACAUUUUACACAUUAAGGAACUGUUUCUGGUAAAGUGUUGCUGAUACUAACACAGGAUAAAUAUAGUUUUAAAAACCGAAUAAGUUUAAAUGGUCCUUCAAGAAAGCAAACGCCUUAAUUUGACCAAAGAGAAAUAAUUUCCUUAUGUUUUAUUUUAAAUACUGUGUUGAUGAUGAAGCUCUUUCUUUGAAUUAAGACUAGCACAACUGAGAUUAAAUCGACGGAGAACUCACUUGACAUGCACUUCACGGACCGCCACGGACUACUACAGUAACAUAAGCCUGGCCUGUGGAGAGCAAACCCACCCACCCACACGGGGUGAAAUCCACAUCCCCUCAAGGAGUGCAGUGAGGUCACAGGAGAAGAAAGCAGCAUUGUGCAGUCAGAGGGAUGGAGGACAGGAGGCACUUGCCUCCAGAUGGAGGUGGCAAUGCCAAGCGCUCCGCCUCAGCAGAGUGCAACACAGAGGAUAGAGUGGUCAGGAAGGAGCAGGGUGACCCUGAGACCUCGACACAAAUGCGUGUGAGAAAAGACGAUCUCUGUGAUGUCCCUCGCAAGGUGCCUCGUUUCCAGUAUGUGGAUUUCCCUUCUCUGCACCAGUGCAUCCAACAGCUUUCCGUGCCUCCGCUCAGCGGUUGGCUGGGAUCCUGCUCAUUGACAAAGGCACCAGACUAUAGGCCCACCAGUCCUAAGGAUAAGGUUCCCAAGUUUAAAUAUGUGGACUACCCAUCUCUCCACCACUGCAUUCAGCAGCUGUCCGUGCCACCUUUAGAAAGCUGGAGUGCAGGGCUGGUCAGGUUUAAUGCAGAGGGGAAACAGGACGAUUCUGGGACUGUGAAGAAUAACUUAAGGAAAGAGGUAGGAGAUCAAAACAUCGAGGACAGGAAUAGAGUAACAGCAAUUUCUUUCCCAAGAGCCACACGCACCUCAGUCUCAGGUAAGGAGGAGAGGCCUCAACACGACUACACCUCAGAGGUGCCACAGAGGUUAGAGAAAGGUAACGCACCUCUAAGGUUCUGGGCUAAUAAACCAGAAGCUGCUUUACAAUCCGAUUGCAGAUCCAGGUCAGAAUCUGGUUCUGGAUGUGAUAGUGAUGCAGCAGUGGCGAGAAACGACAGACCAUCGGUUAUUAACAUGGUGUACACAGAUAAGCAGAAGCACUGGACAAAGGCAGAUCAGCUGGAAGAACAACUGACCUCUCCUGAAUCAGUCGGACGUGUAACGUGGAAUACCCUCCCAGAGUCAGUCUGCCCAUUCUGCCAACAGAUGUUCACAAACCCUGAGCAGUUCAGGGCUCAUCAGCGGAGCCAUAGAGAUAAGAGACCAAACUGAUCUGCAGAAGUACUGAGUGAGAACUGCUUUUGGCAAACAGUUAUUGCCACAUCAAAUGGAAUCGUAUCAUCAGAGGUCUUCUUGUGUUGUGACCGGCCGAAGUGGUAUCGCUGACGGGACUAGAGGGAGACGUUUGGGUUCAGACCUUAGGAAUUGGACUGAUGUUGUGAUGUCUAAAAAGACAACUGAAAAAAACGUAACAAACAAGCAUACAAUAUGCAUGCACAUACAGUACUCAGAGUAUCCAAUUCAUGUUUCAGAAUAGGUCAACAUUUACUGCCCUAUAUAAGGACCAUUAAAUAUAAUGGGGUUUCAGCUCAAGAUGGGAUUAGAACAAGAUUUGUGGUCUCUUCCACACAUAAAUCAGCGUGUUUACAGGGGUGGGUGAAGCUCGAUGGACUGGUGCAUAGGAGGAUGAAUUGUAUUACAUAUAUGUGUUCCCCACACUGUGUGCAUAGUGGCAGGCUAAAUACUUAGCUUUGGGUGCCUACAAAAUAAUGACUAUUGUUAAUGCUGCACAAACAAACAGGCUUGUUAAUAUUGUUAAUAGCGUUUUAUUGUUUUGUAUUUUUUUUAUGUUUUUGGAAAUUAAUGUCUAGUGGCUUCGAGCUAGUAGCUUUAAAUCUUAAAAAUUUGUCGCUUGUUUUCAAGUUUUUAAUUGUGUAAGUAAAGUUUUUUUCAUACAGAAAUAAAUGUUUGACUUUUCAGUACAGGCAUGCCCUCUGCAAGAAAACCUGUUUGACAGGUUACCUCUCAGGUUCUUAGAUGAAGUAUUUACGCUUUAUGUAAACAUAAGAGCUAAUCCAACAUCAACAUCUACAGACUUUCCAGAGCUCAGCUGUGCUGUGGGGUUUUCCGUAAACAAAUGGUGUUGCACAUUCAUUUUCACGCAAAAGAGAUCCACAGCACAGCACACCAAAUUUCGUUGAGGAUUUUAAAUUAAUCUCACUCAAACAGAUCUCAUGACACGUCCUCGAAGAACCACAAAAAAGUGCGUGAAAAAUGAGGGUAUAAACCCAAACAAGGAAGAGCUGAGAAGCGUGAGAAAGACAGUUAUAAAGUGGAAUAGAAGAGGAAGGACAACAAUGGGAACUGGAAAUUCACAAGUGUGCGAUUUGACUGAUGAUCUCAGCGAGGAGGAAAGUAUUUUAAAGGCGCUUUCUCCUCCCUCUCAAACUCAAUCCAUAAUAAAUAACCAAUCCGUAAAGACUUCUGGAUCCCAGGAAGAUGGAAACAAUCUAGAUCCCACAAACAAAAGUUUAUGUGCACUUAAACCUGCAUAUAUAAAAGGUAGUGAUAAACUGCUUCAGUGCACUAGAUGCCCAACCACUCAGCUCCUCUGUGGCUCCUGCCUUUACCCCUGCACUUCCGCUGCCUGCACCAACAAGCUGUGCCCCCUCGUCUCCACACUGCUAACCUGUGAAGUGGUCUCAGAUCCAAAGAGCAAAGUGCUUGGUUGUCCAAUGUUCAGAGCCUGUCCCAAGUGCCAUAAUCUGAUUAUGCAUGAAGGAGGAUGCAAGUUUGUUACAUGCACAUCAUGCUUUCACAGGUUCUGUUUCAUCUGCUUGCAAGAUGAUUGUAGCAAGGAUAAUGCAAACUACUGGAAUCUACAUUGCACAAAGCCGAGAGCAGAAAGACAGAGAUUUAUGUCACCACAAACCUGAACAGAGAUCCCUCCCAGGGUUGAACACUAUUGUCUAAAAUAAAAAUGCAAGAUUUGUCAAUUGCAAUACAGAAGUAAUCAGUAACACAUUUCAUAAAAGGAUUCAAUAUAAAAAAGAAAUCUAACAUUGCAAUGAUCCCAUCUUUCUCCUGUGCUUUGAAUCUAUGCCUUACACCUGACUGACUUGGUGGACUUUGGUUUGCAGGAAUAACAACUCAACAACUUCAAAAACCUUUUACACUGAUUACACUGGCUGAUUUGUAUCCAUGUAAAACACAUUUUAAAAUGCUAGGCAUCGUACACUUACCAACUUUGUAAACAUGCGGUUUCCUAUGAAAUUUGUCAACCAAAUCUGGAGACUGGUUCUGAAUUUCUGCAACUAGCAUCCACUUCUGCAGACUGUAAAUCAGAGGGAAAUUGGGACAAAAGUCUUGUAGUAUAUUUCAGCCUUUCAAUUAUUACAUAAACUAAGCUCAUUUUUUUAUCAUCAUGACUUCAUCUCAUGUUUUUACAAUUUCAUGCCAUUCUUCUGUCAUCCUCUUAGCCCGUUAAUAAGGUUUUGGGUACAGUACAAAAUAAAAACUCUGCUGACAGUUUUGAAAAACAUAGAGUCUAUUGACAGGAUCUGGUAAAGAGACUGGAUCCAGUAUUCGGGUGU